CUUGGUGGAAAAAAUUCAAGCCUAGUGAUUUGUUCCAGGAAGCAGAGCCUUGACAGAAGCAAAGCCCGGCCCUAGAACAGUCUUUUUACUGACUUGCAGUUCAGUCGCUCAGUUGUGUCCGACUCUUUGCGACCCCGUGAAUCACAGCACGCCAGGCCUCCCUGUCCAUCACCAACUCCCGGAGUUCACUCAGACUCUACUGAGUCACCCAGUCAUGUCUGACCCUCUGCGACCCCAUGGACUGCAGCACGCCAGGCCUCCCUGUCCCUCACCGUCUCCUGGAGUUUUCCCAAGUUCACGUUCAUUGCAUCGGUGAUGCCGUCCAGCCAUCUCAUCCUGUGACGCCCUCUUCUCCUUCUGCCCUCCAUCUUUCCCAGCAUCAGGAACUUUUCCAGUGAGUCGUCUGUGCGCAUCAGAUGACCAAAAUACCGGAGCUUCAGCUUCAGCGUCAGUCCUUCCAGUGAAUAAUUGGAGUUGAUCUCCCUUAAGAUGGACUGGUUUAAUCUCCUCACUGUCUGAAGGACUUAGAGGAGUCUUCUCCAGCAUUGUAGUUUGAAGGCAUCACUUCUUUGGCGUUCGGCCGUAUUUAUGGCCCAGCUCUCACAACUGUAUGUGACCACUGGGAAGACCACAGCCUUGACUGUACAGAGCUUUGUCAGCAGAGUAAUGACUCUACUUUUCAACACACUGUCUAAGUUUGUCAUUUGUAAAAUAGAUAGCCAAUGGGAAUUUGCUGUAUGACUCUGGGAACUCAAACGCGGGCUCUGUGGCAAUUUAGAAGGGUGAGAUGGGGAGGGAGAUGGGAGGGAGGUUGGGGAGGGAGGGGACAUGGGUGUGCCUAUGGCUGGUUCUUGUCUAUGUUUGACAGAAAACAACAAAAUUCUGUAAAACAAUUAUGCUUCCAUUAAAAAAUAAA
ensembl:lncRNA